ACCCAAAAGAAGGAUCACGGGUGCUUCAUGUACUCUGAACGAGGACAUCGAUGCUAUUCUGCCUUUCUGUUCGAACGGGUUUACCCUAACACCACCCAGGAACCAAGCGACAUAUUUCCGCCCAAACAGGGCACAACAUCGGCGCAAGUGCAUUGCGCAGAAUCUCCCAGGCCCAAAAAGUUACUUCUUCAAGAAACGGCCCUACACGGACAUGACUCCUCCCCGGCAUAUAACGGCACAGACGACCAUACACACCGAGAACCCGCGGAGGAUUUCGGAGCGCCUGACAUUCACAAUAAAACAAUGAAACCGGAUGAUUUCAACGUUUUAGAUGACAUUUCACAGAUAGACGACUGGCUAUUCUGUAACGCAGCCAAUCUUCUUGAUUCCUCCAAUUCUUAUGUAGAAACACCCAAACCUGAAAUAGACCAAGCGGAGUUUAUCAAGGCCUUUUCAAAGGCUCUAAAAUACAGAAAUGUCUUGCUACACCAACGAAUGGUUGAUUUACUCGAGCGGCAAUACAGUCAGGAUCUAUCCUUCUGGCAUAGAACAAUGCCCCGGUUGUUAAAACGCAAAUACCGGCGCUAAAACCAGUUACCGAAAUGGACAUGCCUAUAAUUGAGACAGUUGAAAGCCUUUUGGCGAAAAUACCCCCCGAUCUACUAGCUUUAAUUGAACGGAUGAACGAGGGUGGGGUAUCAGACAUAAUUCGAUAGACAAAAAUCUAUUUUCCCAAAUUCCCGCCGACCUAAUUGAAAUAAUUAAACAUAUGAACGAGUCAGGAACAACAUAUGAAAACCAAUUAUCUCAAAUCCCGCCAGCCCUAGUUUUUUUAAUAAACCAGAUGAACGAGAGGCUGAGGUCUUCUACACCAGACCCUCCAAGCAGCCCGCUAUUAAUGCCCCUUUCAGAAGAGUCUGAAACGGAAUAUGAUGUUUUUGAGGAAUUGGAAAAUUGUCUAAUAAAUCAGGAGGGAGAUGGUCUUGAUAGAAGUGUCAGGGUUGUGUACAGAAAUAAAUUCAGCAAUACAGAGAUUAGACAGUUUUUCAAUUUCACAUGGGUGAAUCAAAAUCUCGAUUAUGCUGUUUUUUACGUGAUGAUUUUGGAUACUCUGAACGAACUGUUAGAGAGGGCAAGAGAUUAUGGCGAACCUCGUGAUGUCUUACAGUUGGGAAAUUUGUGGAGAUAGCAUGCAAAACACUGUAUCUCUUAUUUUACCCAAUGGUGAAGCAGAUCUUGAACAAUUUAUAGCCCUGCUGGAACGACUUGUUCAAUCAAAUGUAUCCAUCAUAGCCGAUAGGUCGCUGGAGCUUGUUGUGCAAAUAAUAAGGCAACCCCUGGGUGGUGGGGGGCAGAGAAGGAAGCUAGAUAGCCUAAUGCAAUCAGAAAUCAUAAACAAUAAAAGGGCAUGCCUCAUAAACGUUCACAAUCACGGUAAUAAGCUAUGCUUUGCAAUAGGCCUAGCACAUUUACUAAACCCUGGAUGUACGGAUCUAGAGGCGUUGCAAAAGGCUAGAGAGCUUCAAAAUGCUGUCGGUCUGGGCAUGCAGGAUGCAGUGGCAUUCUCUGACAUAGUCAAAUUUGAAAACUUUCUGAACAUCAAGAUUGUGGUUUUGUACCACAGUAGAGCUAAUGCUUCUCUCUUGAAAUUCCAAAACAACCCCCAACCUCAUCCUCAGAUCCUGUACUUUUAUGUGCAAAACGACCAUUACUAUGCAGUUACCAACAUCGGAGCGUUUUUAGACCCACCAAAUGUGUGUCCAGCCUGUCAUACCGGCUACACCCGAAAGGGUGGCCACUCGUGCCGUUAUAACUGUUCCGUAUAUGUCUGGAUGAAAAAUGUCCGAUGCAGCCCUUAAACCUGACACCCUGUGCCGAUUGUCACAGGACAUGCCGUUCGGCCUACUGUUACGAAAAACACCCCAAGGCCUGUAAAUCUGUAAGCAGUUGUGAUAUUAACAGGAAAUGUCCAAAAUGUCAAUGCAAUUACAACCUUAAAAUAGACAGCCCUAAACCUCAUGUGUGUGGAAUCAUUCAUUGCCCAAUCUGUAAAGGGCCUUUGAAAAGCAGAGACUCUGAAGUUGUUCAAGAUGUGCCCCACGAGUGUUAUAUUCAACCCUUGGCUGAAGAUGAACAUUCAGAGAAAUACGUUUUUAUGAUUUUGAGACUAAUCAACAAUCAGGGGUUCAUUUGCCUAUUUUUGUAUCUACCAUGACUUUCAAGGGGGAUAAGUGGUCAGCUGAGGGACCCAAUUUCUAAAACACUUCAGAAAACCCCAGUACAGAAACUUCACGUUUAUAGCGCACAAUUCUAGAGCAUAUGAUUCGUACCUUCUUUUGAACCCUCUGAUACAGCAAGGCGUUGCACCCAGUGUCAUAGCUCAAGGUAGUAAAAUCUUGUGUUUUGUAGACCCCGCUUUCAACCAGAGAUACAUUGACAGUUUAAGCUUCUUACCCAUGAGAUUGUCUCAAAUGCCUGAGGCCUUGGGUUUUGAGAACUCUGU